GGGUUGUGAGGUUAAGCGACUAAGCGUACACGGUGGAUGCCCUGGCAGUCAGAGGCGAUGAAGGACGUGCUAAUCUGCGAAAAGCGCCGGCGAGGUGAUAUGAACCCUUGACCCGGCGAUGUCCGAAUGGGGAAACCCAGUGUGAUUCGUCACACUAUCGUUAACUGAAUACAUAGGUUAACGAGGCGAACCGGGGGAACUGAAACAUCUAAGUACCCCGAGGAAAAGAAAUCAACCGAGAUUCCCCCAGUAGCGGCGAGCGAACGGGGAGCAGCCCAGAGUCUGAAUCAGCUUGUGUGUUAGUGGAAGCGUCUGGAAAGUCGCACGGUACAGGGUGAUAGUCCCGUACACGAAAGCACACAGGCUGUGAACUCGAAGAGUAGGGCGGGACACGUGGUAUCCUGUCUGAAUAUGGGGGGACCAUCCUCCAAGGCUAAAUACUCCUGACUGACCGAUAGUGAACCAGUACCGUGAGGGAAAGGCGAAAAGAACCCCGGCGAGGGGAGUGAAAAAGAACCUGAAACCGUGUACGUACAAGCAGUGGGAGCACCUUCGGGUGUGACUGCGUACCUUUUGUAUAAUGGGUCAGCGACUUAUAUUCUGUAGCAAGGUUAACCGUAUAGGGGAGCCGAAGGGAAACCGAGUCUUAACUGGGCGUUAAGUUGCAGGGUAUAGACCCGAAACCCGGUGAUCUAGCCAUGGGCAGGUUGAAGGUUGGGUAACACUAACUGGAGGACCGAACCGACUAAUGUUGAAAAAUUAGCGGAUGACCUGUGGCUGGGGGUGAAAGGCCAAUCAAACCGGGAGAUAGCUGGUUCUCCCCGAAAGCUAUUUAGGUAGCGCCUCGUGAACUCAUCUUCGGGGGUAGAGCACUGUUUCGGCUAGGGGGCCAUCCCGGCUUACCAACCCGAUGCAAACUACGAAUACCGAAGAAUGUUAUCACGGGAGACACACGGCGGGUGCUAACGUCCGUCGUGAAGAGGGAAACAACCCAGACCGCCAGCUAAGGUCCCAAAGUCAUGGUUAAGUGGGAAACGAUGUGGGAAGGCCCAGACAGCCAGGAUGUUGGCUUAGAAGCAGCCAUCAUUUAAAGAAAGCGUAAUAGCUCACUGGUCGAGUCGGCCUGCGCGGAAGAUGUAACGGGGCUAAACCAUGCACCGAAGCUGCGGCAGCGACGCUUAUGCGUUGUUGGGUAGGGGAGCGUUCUGUAAGCCGUUGAAGGUGGCCUGUGAGGGUUGCUGGAGGUAUCAGAAGUGCGAAUGCUGACAUAAGUAACGAUAAAGCGGGUGAAAAGCCCGCUCGCCGGAAGACCAAGGGUUCCUGUCCAACGUUAAUCGGGGCAGGGUGAGUCGACCCCUAAGGCGAGGCCGAAAGGCGUAGUCGAUGGGAAACAGGUUAAUAUUCCUGUACUUGGUGUUACUGCGAAGGGGGGACGGAGAAGGCUAUGUUAGCCGGGCGACGGUUGUCCCGGUUUAAGCAUGUAGGCGGAGGUUCCAGGUAAAUCCGGUACCUUUUAACGCUGAGGUGUGAUGACGAGGCACUACGGUGCUGAAGUAACAAAUGCCCUGCUUCCAGGAAAAGCCUCUAAGCAUCAGGUAACACGAAAUCGUACCCCAAACCGACACAGGUGGUCAGGUAGAGAAUACCAAGGCGCUUGAGAGAACUCGGGUGAAGGAACUAGGCAAAAUGGUGCCGUAACUUCGGGAGAAGGCACGCUGAUAUGUAGGUGAAGCCCCUGCGGGUGGAGCUGAAAUCAGUCGAAGAUACCAGCUGGCUGCAACUGUUUAUUAAAAACACAGCACUGUGCAAACACGAAAGUGGACGUAUACGGUGUGACGCCUGCCCGGUGCCGGAAGGUUAAUUGAUGGGGUUAGCGGCAACGCGAAGCUCUUGAUCGAAGCCCCGGUAAACGGCGGCCGUAACUAUAACGGUCCUAAGGUAGCGAAAUUCCUUGUCGGGUAAGUUCCGACCUGCACGAAUGGCGUAAUGAUGGCCAGGCUGUCUCCACCCGAGACUCAGUGAAAUUGAACUCGCUGUGAAGAUGCAGUGUACCCGCGGCAAGACGGAAAGACCCCGUGAACCUUUACUAUAGCUUGACACUGAACACUGGUCCUUGAUGUGUAGGAUAGGUGGGAGGCUUUGAAGCGUGGACGCCAGUCUGCGUGGAGCCGACCUUGAAAUACCACCCUUUAAUGGCUGGUGUUCUAACGUAGACCCGUAAUCCGGGUUGCGGACAGUGUCUGGUGGGUAGUUUGACUGGGGCGGUCUCCUCCCAAAGAGUAACGGAGGAGCACGAAGGUUAGCUAAUCCUGGUCGGACAUCAGGAGGUUAGUGCAAUGGCAUAAGCUAGCUUGACUGCGAGAGUGACGGCUCGAGCAGGUGCGAAAGCAGGUCAUAGUGAUCCGGUGGUUCUGAAUGGAAGGGCCAUCGCUCAACGGAUAAAAGGUACUCCGGGGAUAACAGGCUGAUACCGCCCAAGAGUUCAUAUCGACGGCGGUGUUUGGCACCUCGAUGUCGGCUCAUCACAUCCUGGGGCUGAAGUAGGUCCCAAGGGUAUGGCUGUUCGCCAUUUAAAGUGGUACGCGAGCUGGGUUUAGAACGUCGUGAGACAGUUCGGUCCCUAUCUGCCGUGGGCGCUGGAGAAUUGAGGGGGGCUGCUCCUAGUACGAGAGGACCGGAGUGGACGCAUCACUGGUGUUCGGGUUGUCAUGCCAAUGGCACUGCCCGGUAGCUAAAUGCGGAAGAGAUAAGUGCUGAAAGCAUCUAAGCACGAAACUUGCCCCGAGAUGAGUUCUCCCUGAGACUUAAAGUCUCCUGAAGGAACGUUGAAGACGACGACGUUGAUAGGUCGGGUGUGUAAGCGCAGCGAUGCGUUGAGCUAACCGAUACUAAUGAACCGUGAGGCUUAACCUUACAACGCCGAAG
rnacentral:rRNA from 1 species